CUGACCGUAAACGAUGCCAACUAGCGAUCCGUCGGCGGCUCUACGGCCCUGAUGGGGAGCUUCCCGGAAACGAAAGUCUUCCGGUUCCGGGGGAAGUAUGGUUGCAAAGCUGAAACUUAAAGGAAUUGACGGAAGGGCACCACCAGGAGUGGAGCCUGCGGCUUAAUUUGACUCAACACGGGAAAACUCACCCGGCCCGGACACCGUGAGGAUUGACAGAUUGAUAGCUUUUUCAUGAUUCGGUGGUUGGUGGUGCAUGGCCGUUCUUAGUUCGUGGAUCGAUUUGUCUGGUUUAUUCCGAUAACGAGCGAGACUCCAGCCUACUAACUAGUACGGGCAUUGCCUCUGUGCCCGGCACUUCUUAGAGGGAUUGGCUGCGUCUAGCGGCACGAAACGGAGCAAUAACAGGUCUGUGAUGCCCUUAGAUGUCCGGGGCUGCACGCGCGCUACACUGGCAAAGGCAGCGUGCUUGUCCGUCUCCGAAAGGAGCCGGUAAACCCUUGAAAAUUUGCCGUGAUUGGGAUCGGAAAUGCAAUUAUUUUCCGUGAACGAGGAAUUCCUAGUAAGUGCGAGUCAUCAGCUCGCGUUG
rnacentral:rRNA from 1 species